UUCCAAGACUCCACAUAUCUCUGACAUUAAUCCAAAAAAGCUGCAUCCCAUGACCAUGCAGCUCAGAAUAUGACUAUGGCUUUCGAGGCGGAGUUGUGAGAUCUCUCCAACUUCAAGCUCACCCUGCAUUGUGUAUGCAAG
rnacentral:lncRNA from 11 species